rnacentral:tRNA from 1 species
GUAUAGCUCAGUGGCAGAGAACCUGCUUUGCAUGCAGAAGGUUCUAGGUUCAACCCCCAGCAUCUCCA